rnacentral:lncRNA from 1 species
AAGAACCCGAGAGAGAGAGAGGCCGUGUCUUCUUCUUCUUCUUCUUCGUGCAUUCUACUCCUUGAUCUUGUCUACCUCUUGCUUGUGUCUUUGUGACCCUUACCUGUGUGGUAUUCAUUCUUUGUGAGUGAGCAAACAACAAGCAGAAGGAAGAAAAGCAACCAUAGGUAGAACUCGUGGUCGGCGGCGGGUAUCUCCGGUUUUGGUGUUGAUUCGGUGUUUUAAAGGUUAAUUGAGCCCGAAAAUCAUCUUGAGUAGCUUGAGGAAGAUCCUAACAUCUGGUAUCAGAGCUUGGUUGGCAAAAAUGGGCUCAAAAUUGGCUGAUUUUCGCGAUUUCAUCCUUUUACUCGAAUCUGAAAUUCUUCAACUACUCACAAACCAAAGCUCAGUUGGACAAACGGAGGCCAUACCCAUUACCAGCAGGUCGAGGCGCCCCUGGUGAGGUGGCGCGUGGGCGGCAUUCCGGCGAAACUAUCUUCAGGUAACUUGCUUGUUUUGAUCUCUUGAAUGCGUUGAUAUACUUUAUUUUGUGUUUCAGGUUACACAGAAAAAGUUGGACGAUUUUGGCCCUGGUGCGACACCGACUGCAAUUGAACAGCAAGCUCGUUUUUCUGCACUCUACGGACUCAGAUAGGUCCGCUCUGGUAAAUUGGCUUAAUCCAUUUAAAUUCAGCAAUAGCAAGAUCAUCAUAUGGGGUGAUCGUUAGGUUUUGGGGUUAUCAUGAAGGGGUAACCAUUGCUUGUGCUAGAACUAGGAUUACUUGCUUUAAUUGAGUGCUUGUUCUUUUGAUUUAAGUGCUUGGUAUUUCUUGUGGACGUAGCGUUUAGGUUCAUUGUUACUUUUGCUAAGAAUUAACAAGAUAUUACCUUAUCACGCUUCCCAAUACUACUUCGUGUGGUCUAAUUAGUGUGUUAACCAAUGACAACACAUAAUUUUGAUUUGGGAAUAUUUAACGGUAAAGGGGACUUCUCUAUCUGGCAACAAAAGAUGAGAGGCAUAUUAGUCUAACAAAAGGUGUCAAAAGCCAUCGAAGGCAAUUUUGCACCUGACAUCUUAAAAGAACAAAAAGAGGAAGCCGAUGAGCUUGCCUAUACCUCAAUAAUAUUACACUUAUCUGACGCUGUUUUAAGAAAAGUGGGAAAACUAAAAACCACCAAAGAACUUUGGAAAAGACUAGAAGACUUAUACUUGCUUAAAUCUACACCGAAUAAACUCUACCUACUCGAACGAUUUUUCAGCUUUAAGAUGGAUCCUUCAAAGGAUCUCGACGACAAUUUAGAUGUAUUUAACAAAUUGGUGCAAGAUAUUGUCAAUUGUGACGAAGCCGUGUCUGAGACCUAUAAGGCUAUAAUCUUGCUCAAUUCAAUCCCGGACUCUUAUAAAGAACUUAAGAAUGUCAUUAAGUAUGGUAGGGACACGUUAACACCUGAAAUUGUCGUAGAUUCUCUUAGGAGUAAAGAGAUGGAAAUGAGGGCUGAAAAAAAGGAUAGGAGGAGUGGAGAGUUGCAUAUGAUGCGGGAUAGAACUCAAUUUAGGUAAGCCAGCCAUGAUGGAUACCAAAGUAGUGGCGAAUCAAGUAGUAAUAGUUGGAAAAAGAAGGGCAAUGGUAGACCUAGGUCAAAGUCUAGAACUAAGGCUAGAAAAUACUAUGGCUGUGGAGACACAGGGCAUUUUAUAAAAGACUGUCAUAAAGAAAGGGGAAAACAAAAGGUUAAGGAAAGAGAUGAGGUAAAUGUGUUAUCCUCUACCUCCGAUACCGAAAAUGGUGAAAUCUAUGUGAUCACUAGUCCAGUUACAUACACUACUGAAUUGAAUCUAACUACUAAUUCUCACAUGCAUGAAUGGAUAUUAGAUUCUGGUGCGUCUUUUUAUGUGACGUCUGAAAAUAACUGGUUUGAAAACUUGCAAGAAUCUAAUGAUGGGCAAGUAGUUCUGUAUGAUAACUUUGCCUAUACAAUUGCUGGAAUUGGAGAUAUAAAGAUAAAAUUUAACACGGGCUUUGUGUACAUGUUAAAGGAAGUUAGAUGCAUUCCUGAAUUAUCUAGUAAUUUGAUUUCAGUAGGAAGACUUGAGAAAGACAACUUCACCGGUAAAAUUGGAAAUAGUAUGUUUAAAAUGAUGAAGGGUGCGUUAAUCUCUAUUAAGGGAAUCAAGAAAAAUGAUAUUUACAUCACUACUGAGGAAGUAAUUAGAGGAUUAAACUCCUCUAUUUCUUCUGCUAAAAUCAAUCACACACAUACGUGGCAUAGUAGGCUUACACACGUAGGCAUUAAGGGACUUAAGCUAUUUAAUGAAAAAUGUGCAUUUGGUAAUGACUGUGUGUCUGACCUAUCGUUCUGUGAUCACUGUGUACUCGGAAAGCACCAUAAAGUGUCGUUCUCCACUAGUACGCAUAAGGCUAAAAGCAUGCUUGAAUAUAUGGGAUCCUGCUAGUAAUCCCACAUCGGGUGGAAAUAGGUAUUUCCUAUCUAUCAUAGAUGACUACAUUAGGAAAGUGUGGGUCUAUCUAUUGAAAGACAAAACUGAAACCUUCCAUAACUUUAACAAUUGGAAGAAACAAAUGGAAAACCAAACUAGCAAGAUGAUCAAAUUUUUAAGGACAGAUAACGGCCUAGAAUUCUGUAAUACUGAAUUCGAUAGGAUGUGUAAAGAAAGUGGAAUAAUAAGGCACAAAACAGUUCCCUAUACUCCCCAGCAAAAUGGGGUAGCAGAAAGAAUGAAUAGGACCAUACUAGAUAAAGUGCGCUGCAUGAUGUUAAGUUCUGGGGUUCCUAAAUCAUUUUGGGGUGAAGUCGUUGUAACUGCCUAUUAUCUGAUAAAUUUGACUCCAUCGGCUGCAUUAAAUGAUGAUACUCCACAUGAGAAAUGGUCUGAAAAAUUGGGUGACUACUCAAUGCUUAAAGCUUUUGGCUGUGCUGCCUUCUCUCAUCAAAGUGAGGGAAAAUUAGAACCUAGAGCCAGGAAGUGUGUCUUUCUAGGAUAUCCCGAAGGGGUUAAGGGUUAUAGGUUAUGGGAUAGAAGCCAAAAAGGAGUUAAGAUCAUCAUGAGUAGGGAUGUCACAUUUAAUGAGAGUAAGAUGCCUUGUCUAAGGAACGAAACUGAACCUGUAAGUGAAACUGAAUCAGGUGAAGAAAGAAAUCGGUUUAAGGUGGAGUGAGGAAAAUUUAACACAUCAGUACUAGUACUUCGAGUGAGGUGGAGAUUCAGGUCCAAGAAUCUGAAGAGGAAAAUGAAGUAGUGAUAGAAGAGCAUCCUGAGGAAGAAAAUCCAUUAGCUAACUAUAAUUUAGUUAGGGAUAGAGAGAGAAGACAAACGAGAGAACCUAGGAGGUUCGGGUUUGAAUCUGAAUUGGAUUUUGCAUACGUUAGUUAUGAAGAACUAGUUGAUAGGGAGCUGGAAACUUUUGAAGAGGCUACGAAUAGUGGUCAAUCUAAGGAGUGACUUAAGGCUAUGAAAGAAGAGAUGAGUUCUCUAGAAAAGAAUCAAAGGGAGUUAGUACCGAGACCUAAGAAUAAAUCAAUCGUUGAUUGCAAGUGGGUCUUCAAGGUUAAGGAAGGUACUAGUAGUACAGAACCCUUAAGAUUUAAGGUUAGGUUAGUAGCGAAGGGUUACACACAGAAAGAAGGUGUUGAUUAUAAUGAGAUUUUCUCUCCAGUUGUCAAGUACACUACUAUUAGGGUCAUGCUCACAUUGGUUGCGCUCUUUGACUGGGAAUUUGAACAACUCGAUGUAAAAAUCGCUUUUUUACAUGGAGAGCUUGAUGAACAAAUCUUUAUGAAUCAACCAAAAGGUUUUAAAGACAAGUUAAAACCUGAUUAUGUGUGUUUUCUGAAGAGAUCCCUAUACGGUCUAAAGCAAUCACCUAGACAGUGGUACAAGAGGUUUGAUUUCUUUGUACUCACUACAGGAUUUUAAAGAAGUAAAUUCGAUCACUGCCUAUACUUUCAACACAACGAGACUAAUAACAAUUAUUUGUUCUUGUUGCUCUAUGUGGAUGACAUGCUUUUAGUUGGAUCAUCUCCUAAGUGGAUAAACAAUAUAAAAGCAGACCUUAGUGGAGAAUUUGACAUGAAAGACCUAGGAAAGGCUAAAAGGAUUCUAGGCAUGGAAAUAGAAUGAAAUAGGUCAAAUUCCAUCGUAUUCUUGCAUCAGUCUCCAUACAUAUCAAAGGUGUUGAAAAUGUUUAAUAUGAGUGACUGCAAAUCUGUCACGUUGCCUCUUGCAAACCAUUUUGUUCUAUCUAAAGAAUAAGCUCCCUGCAAUGAACGUGAAGUGGAAUACAUGAGUAAAAUUCCAUACUCAAAUGUGAUUGGUUCCAUAAUGUAUUUGAUGGUUUGCACUAGACCGGACUUAGGAUUCGCUGUUAGUACUCUCAGUAGGUACAUGUCUAAUCCAGGUCCUGAACAUUGGGAAGCAUUAACGUGGCUUUUAAGAUAUUUGAAGGGUACAAGUGACGUAGGUCUAAAAUUUAGUGCUAAUAAGGAAGGCGUGAAAUUAAAGGGUUUUGUAGAUGCUGAUUAUGCAGGAGAUAGGGAUGGUAGGAAAUCAACUUUCUCUUACGUAUUCACCUUAUCAAAUUCGUGUGUUAGUUGGAAAUCACAGUUACAACACAUAGUUGCACUAUCCACUACAGAGUCAGAAUAUAUUGCCACCACUGAAGCAAUUAAAGAGGCUCUAUGGCUUUGAGGACUACUUCAUGAACUAAGCGUCUUGAAUGAGUAUGUGGUUGUGUAUUUUGAUAGUCAGUCAUCUAUACAUCUGUGUAAGAAUCCUAUUUUUCACGAACGCACUAAACAUAUCGAUGUUGGGCUACACUUCAUUGGGGAUAUAAUAUCACAAGAAGUAGUAAGACUUGAAAAAAUUCACACACAAUAUAAUCCUUCGGAUAUGGGCACGAAAGUGCUGCCACUGGUAAAGUUUAGAAGUUGUAAGGAGCUUCUAAACAUCGGUACAGGUAAAUGAUUUCUAAUUUUAUCGAUUUUCUAUUAGAGGUGUCACUAAUGGAAAACGUUUUUUCUUUGCAGGUCUUUUGACACCAAGGUGGAGGUUGUUAGACAUCAUGUCUUCAAACGACCUCCCAGGCGAUGAUGUAAACCAGUUUUAUCAGUCGACAUGAAUGACUGAAUGAUAAAUCAACACCGAAUAAUGGGAUGACCCGACUUAACGUUGUUUUACCUAUUGGAUGGCUAAUAAACCUUUGUGGCUUGUUGGUGUGCUAUUGGGCCAUAACCUUAGUCGAGCCCACUUAACAUAUGUAUAACUUACCUUAUUGUUUGUCAUUGGUUUACUAUAUAUACUGGUAACUCUCGUAGCCUUUCAAUGUCCCCUUUUUUUGUGAAAGAACCCGAGAGAGAGAGAGAGAGGCUGUGUCUUCUUCUUCUUUGUGCAUUCUACUCCUUCAUCUUGUCUACCUCUUGCUUGUAUCUUUGUGACCCUUACCUGUGUGGCAUUCAUUCUUUGUGAGUGAGCAAACAACAAGCAGAAGGAAGAAAAGCAAUCAUAGGUAGGAUUCGUGGUCGGCGGCGGGUACCUUCGGUUUUGGUGUUGAUUCGGUGUUUUAAAGGUUAACUGAGCCCGGAAAUCAUCUUGAGCAGCUUGAGGAAGAUCCUAACAGUUGGUAUUAGAGGAGUGUAGAGGAGGGGAAGGAUUUGCCUCAGAAGAAUGAGUACUGUAAUCAUCGAUGUGUGGAUUGGGAGUAAGGGAAAUAUUUUCAGAUUGGUUGGAUGUAUCUUGAGGAGAAGUCAGAGAGGAGAUGGUAAUAUUAAGUUAGGAAAAGGGUCUAGCAUUUGAUCAGCCUACUUAAUAGUGUGAAAAUGAAAUAUUUCCUCAUGAAAGAUAACAUCUCUUGAUAAGAAAAUCUAUCUUGAUGUGAUAUCAAAGAGGUUUAUAUUCUUUAACUCCUAAUGGAUAGCCAAGGAACAGACACAAUUUGGCUCUUGGCUGAAAUUUAUCUCUAUGGGUAAUGAGUGUUAAUGCAAAGUUGAAACAUCCAAAGACACGAAGAUUAGAGUAGUUAGCAAGAAUUCCAUGUGAGAUUUCAUAAGGUGUUUUAUGUUGUAGGAUGGGAAAUGGAGUCCUGUUGAUUAGAUAGGCUGCUGUUAAUACACAUUCAGACCAGCACAUGAUGGGAAUUCUUGAUUAGAAGAAUAAGGCUCGACCACAUUCAACAAGUGUUGAUGUUUUCGUUCAACAACUUAGUUUUGUUGCGGUCUUUCAACACAUCUAUGUUGAUGUAAUACUCCUUUUUCAGCAAAGAACUUCACAAAGGACAG